AGGGUUUGAUCCUGGCUCAGAUUGAACGCUGGCGGCAGGCCUAACACAUGCAAGUCGAGCGCGAAAGCACUUCGGUGUGAGUAGAGCGGCGGACGGGUGAGUAACGCGUAGGAAUCUACCUAGUAGUGGGGGACAACUCGGGGAAACUCGAGCUAAUACCGCAUAAGCCCUACGGGGGAAAGCGGGGGACCUUCGGGCCUCGUGCUAUUAGAUGAGCCUGCGUUGGAUUAGCUAGUUGGUGGGGUAAAGGCCUACCAAGGCGACGAUCCAUAGCUGGUCUGAGAGGAUGAUCAGCCACACCGGGACUGAGACACGGCCCGGACUCCUACGGGAGGCAGCAGUGGGGAAUAUUGCGCAAUGGGCGAAAGCCUGACGCAGCCAUGCCGCGUGUGUGAAGAAGGCCUUCGGGUUGUAAAGCACUUUCAAUUGGGAGGAAAGGUUCACGGUUAAUAACCGUGAGCUGUGACGUUACCUUUAGAAGAAGCACCGGCUAACUCCGUGCCAGCCGCCGCGGUAA
rnacentral:rRNA from 1 species